UGACGCUUAACUGGUCUGAGAGGAUGAUCAGUCACACUGGAACUGAGACACGGUCCAGACUCCUACGGGAGGCAGCAGUAGGGAAUAUUGCGCAAUGGGGGAAACCCUGACGCAGCAACGCCGCGUGGAGGAUGACACUUUUCGGAGCGUAAACUCCUUUUCUUAGGGAAGAAUUCUGACGGUACCUAAGGAAUAAGCACCGGCUAACUCCGUGCCAGCAGCCGCGGUAAUACGGAGGGUGCAAGCGUUACUCGGAAUCACUGGGCGUAAAGGGCGCGUAGGCGGAUUAUCAAGUCUCUUGUGAAAUCUAAUGGCUUAACCAUUAAACUGCUUGGGAAACUGAUAGUCUAGAGUGAGGGAGAGGCAGAUGGAAUUGGUGGUGUAGGGGUAAAAUCCGUAGAUAUCACCAAGAAUACCCAUUGCGAAGGCGAUCUGCUGGAACUCAACUGACGCUAAGGCGCGAAAGCGUGGGGAGCAAACAGGAUUAGAUACCCUGGUAGUCCACGCCCUAAACGAUGUACACUAGUUGUUGGGGUGCUAGUCAUCUCAGUAAUGCAGCUAACGCAUUAAGUGUACCGCCUGGGGAGUACGGUCGCAAGAUUAAAACUCAAAGGAAUAGACGGGGACCCGCACAAGCGGUGGAGCAUGUGGUUUAAUUCGAAGAUACGCGAAGAACCUUACCUGGGCUUGAUAUCCUAAGAACCUUUUAGAGAUAAGAGGGUGCUAGCUUGCUAGAACUUAGAGACAGGUGCUGCACGGCUGUCGUCAGCUCGUGUCGUGAGAUGUUGGGUUAAGUCCCGCAACGAGCGCAACCCACGUAUUUAGUUGCUAACGGUUCGGCCGAGCACUCUAAAUAGACUGCCUUCGUAAGGAGGAGGAAGGUGUGGACGACGUCAAGUCAUCAUGGCCCUUAUGCCCAGGGCGACACACGUGCUACAAUGGCAUAUACAAUGAGACGCAAUACCGCGAGGUGGAGCAAAUCUAUAAAAUAUGUCCCAGUUCGGAUUGUUCUCUGCAACUCGAGAGCAUGAAGCCGGAAUCGCUAGUAAUCGUAGAUCAGCCAUGCUACGGUGAAUACGUUCCCGGGUCUUGUACUCACCGCCCGUCACACCAUGGGAGUUGAUUUCACUCGAAGCCGGAAUACUAAACUAGUUACCGUCCACAGUGGAAUCAGCGACUGGGGUGAAGUCGUAACAAGGUAACCGUAGGAGAACCUGCGGUUGGAUC
rnacentral:rRNA from 1 species